GCUUCUCCCCUCUGUUCCAGCGCUGAGACGCAGGCCUUUCCUGGCGCGAAGCGACUCGCCCCGGAGCUCCCCUGCACCGUCCUGGGUGUCAGGACGCGUCAACCCAGAUGACCCGACCCGGAGAUCCUGGAUCCUCUGCCCUCUUCCCCCUACCAAGUCCUUAACCGGAGAGGGAGGAGCUACCAAUGUCCUCCAGACGUUCUCCAAAGCCCGAGCUGCCGGGAGAAGCUUGCUCAAGGCGGGUGCGCCCCUCAGACGUUUGUUUGCACGCAGGGGUUUUGACGUUUCGCUAAGCAACAGCGUUUGCCAGGGAAUCAGGGCUGUUUCGAAGAGCUUGCGUCUAUUUGAUGCUCCCAUCUUGAACAAAUCGUUUCCAUUCGAUUUGUUUAACCAAGGCGAGGGCGGACUAUGUUGUUACUUAAAAGUUAUUCUUCAUCCAAGCUGUCCUCAGAUUUUCAUCUAAGGGUGUCAUAACACCCCAGGUCGUUGCGCAAAUGUUUUGUGACAAUUUAGAAAACCAGAGGGGGGAAAUAUCCUUAGAGAAAAAAUCAUAACCAACAAGAAAAUUAUGUUAAAUGAUGUUGGUCCUUUUUCAUCGGAUGGUCCCAGUUGACACAUAGUCUUUUACAAAACCAGUGACUAUUCACAGUCUUCAAUUUAUGGCACAUCUCCCGGUGGGGGCGAAGUGCAUGAAUGGGUCCCACCUUAUUCACCAGCUGAAACUCUGAACAAGCCUUGGGGUUUCCUCUCCCAAAGACUGCCAGGCUUCACUAAGAAUCAAAACAAAACAGGAUACUAAAUGCCUGCGUGUUGUUAAUCAAACACAAGACCCAUAAAGUGAAUUUGGGGUCAUCUUGUCCUUUACUGGUUUCCUGAUUGGGAGGCUCACCCUUGGCUUAUGAUCACAUCCAUUUGGCAGAAAGUCAGCUUAUUUGACAGGGUUGGAAACAAUGCCAUGUGAGCAGAAGAGAAAUUGCUUUCAUCCCUUUUUCUACCUGAUGGUCUUAUAUUAUGAUAUGGUUUGGCUGUGCGCCCACCCAAAUCUCAUCUUGAAUUGUAGUUCCCAUAAUCCCCGUAUGUCAUGGGUGAGACCUCAUGGGAGGUAAAUAAAUUAUGGAAGUGGUUCCCCCAUGCUGUUCUCAUGAUAGUGAGUGAGUUCUCAUGAGAUCUGAAUGGUUUUAUAAGUGGUUUUUCCCCGCUUUGCUCUGCACUUCUCUCUCCUGCCACCAUGUGAAGAAGGAUGUGUUUGCUUCCCCUUCUGCCCUGAUUGUAAGUUUCUGGAGGCCUCCCAAGCCAUGCGGAACUGUGAGUCAAUGAAACCUCUUUCCUUUAUAAAUUACCCAGUCUCAGGCCAGGCACAGUGGCUCACGCCUGUAAUCCCAGCACUUGGGGAGGCUGAGGUGGGCGGAUUGCCUGAGGUCAGGAGUUCGAGACCAGUCUGGCUAACAUGGUGAAAUCCCGUCUCUACUAAAAAUACAGAAUUAGCCAGGCAUGAUGGCGUGUGCCUGUAAUGCCAGAUACUUGGGAGGCUGAGGCAGGGGAAUUGCUUGAACCAGGGAGGUGGAGGUUGCAGUGGGCCAAGGUCACGCCACUGUACUCCAGUCUGGGCGACAGAGCAAGACUCCAUCUCAAAAAUAAAUAAAUAAAUAAAUAAAUAAAUAAAUAAAUAACCUAGUCUCUGGUAUUUCUUCAUAGCAGUUUGAGAAUGGACUAAUACAUAUUAUAAUAUCCUUAUUUUCCUGAUGAAGAAGUUGAGGUUCAGAGAAGUUAAGGUCCCAUGGGUAGUAAAUGUUUAAGUCAGGCUUAUAUGGUAAUUUAUCUAAUUCCAGAGUCCAUGGUCUUGACAAAUAUACUAUAAACUGCCUCUAAUGUUUAUUAAAGUUUAUAAUAAUUGGCAGUGGCUUUUUAAAUUAUUUUUGAAGAGUUACCUUUACAUUUAAAAAAAAUAAAAUCAAGGUAAUAUUUAAAAGAAUGUUAAGACAAGAAUCUGGAAACAUGAGUUCUAACCAGAACCUAUCAUGAAUGAGGGGAAACCUGGAAAUUACUUAACUUCUAUUCUCAAUUAGGUAUCCAUAUAAAAAUUUUAUUAUUUUAUUCCAAGGCUCUUAUAAACAACUUUACAGAAAAAUUAAAAAGUUAUCUAGUGGUUCAUCUGUACCUUGUCUCUACACAUAUAUUUUUAAAAUUUGUUGUAAUCACUGUAUC
ensembl:lncRNA novel transcript